AGUGAACGCUGGCGGUAGGCCUAACACAUGCAAGUCGAACGGCAGCACAGAGGAGCUUGCUCCUUGGGUGGCGAGUGGCGGACGGGUGAGGAAUACAUCGGAAUCUACUCUGUCGUGGGGGAUAACGUAGGGAAACUUACGCUAAUACCGCAUACGACCUACGGGUGAAAGCAGGGGAUCUUCGGACCUUGCGCGAUUGAAUGAGCCGAUGUCGGAUUAGCUAGUUGGCGGGGUAAAGGCCCACCAAGGCGACGAUCCGUAGCUGGUCUGAGAGGAUGGUCAGCCACACUGGAACUGGGACACGGUCCAGACUCCUACGGGAGGCGGCAGUGGGGAAUAUUGGACAAUGGGCGCAAGCCUGAUCCAGCCAUACCGCGUGGGUGAAGAAGGCCUUCGGGUUGUAAAGCCCUUUUGUUGGGAAAGAAAUCCAUCUGGUUAAUACCCGGGUGGGAUGACGGUACCCAAAGAAUAAGCACCGGCUAACUUCGUGCCAGCAGCCGCGGUAA
rnacentral:rRNA from 1 species